AUGGCAGGUCGCCCGUUGCUGGCCCCGGCCGUCACGAUGCGUCCUCCUGGACCAGAGUUGGGCUCGAGGGCCUCGCUAUACGUCGGCGACCUAGAUGAUGGCGUGGCGGAGGGGCAUAUCUACGCCCUGUUCUGCCAGGUGGCUCCCGUGGCGUCCCUCCGUGUCUGCCGGGACGUCAUUGGCAGGUCACUUGGUUACGCCUACGUGAAUUUCUACAGUCGGGAGGACGCCAAACGUGCAUUAGACUCUUUAAAUUUUACCCCUGCCAACGGGAAGCAUAUCCGAGUUAUGUUCUUGAAUAGGGACCCAACGCUGCGAUUGAGUGGAAAGCCAAUAUAUUCAUAA
rnacentral:rRNA from 1 species